GCCAAAGAUUGCAGCACCACAGCACUAGUGGAAAUUUAAAUUUGCUGACAGGAAUGCUUUCAGUUAACCGGCGUUUCAGUUGACCGGUUUAUGGAUAAAUGACGCUCUAAUGUAAUAAUAUAAAACGUUUGUAAAUAAAAUAUUGUAAUAUAUGGCACCACAUGCAAUUUUAAAUUCUUGUGCUAAGAAAGUAAUGCAACUUGUUGCUGGAUUUUUUUCAACUGGUGGUUAACUUUUGAAGGAAGUGUAACAAAACUACAUUCUGAGUCUGUGUAAACUUAAAACAGUUCAAUCACCAUACCUACAUGCUUCCAAGCAAAACAGUGACAGCUACAGAACUGUGAAAUGCUCAAUAACCUGGCUUCAAGGAUUGCCAAAACUUGCUCAUCAUUGACUGAUACUGAAAGGAAGUUUUAUUCCAUCAAAAUAAUACUAAACCACAUACCAUUAAUUUAAGAUGAUCUGCCACCCUGUAUUGACUGGGAAUAUCCUGGACCCUGUGUACACCUACCAAGUUACAGCACUAAUUCACUGAAUUGAUAUUUCAUCAGUCAAAUUUGGAUCUGCUAUCAUGAAUAAUAAAUCAUUAAGAAAUUUACUUUCAUUAAUGUAAUCUAUAAAUAAUUACAUUAAUGAAUUAAUGAAUGAAUAAUUACAUUAAAAGAAUGAAGGAAGUUUUGUUUUAAAAUAGAUUUAUAUUUGGUUUCAGUUAAAUAUUGAAGUUCAAGGACAGAAGCAGGAAGAUAUAAGUGAUGAAUCCAGUGUUAUUAAUGUAGCCUCAACAGGAGAACCACACCUACAAACAAUUACUGUAACAUUAAGUCGCAGUAUUGAACCUGGUCAAGCGCCAGUAAUUUCUAGAAUAGAAGCCCAUCUCAGUGAUGGCAGUACUCGCGUCAGUUCGACUCUAACUCCGGAAACUUUUGAACUCCUAAGUAGACUUCACCCGUCUGUAUUUCCUCCUGGCAGUCUCAUUCAGUUGGCCGAAACCAAUCAGACCUGUCCAACUGAGGUCACUCAGACGCAGCUUACACCUGUAUGUCCAUCAGAUGCAGAAUUUUGCAUCAUACCUCAGCAGUCCAAUUCAACAAAUUGUAAGAUGGAUGCCAAAGAUUCUCUGCCAAAAACUUUAACCAUAGAAAGGAAUGAUCAGGUGAUGACUGAGACCCCCAUUCAAAUAUGCGAAAUCAAUCUCCAGGAUAUAGGAGCAACCAUCUCACGCCCCGUUAUUUCAGGUCUAGAAAAUAGUUGAAAAUAAAACAGCAAAGUAAUUAGCCAUUAACUUGCACAUUUGUUUAUGUAUAGUCUCAAUUUGUAAUCAAUGUUAUUCAAGAUCUUUAGGAUUUUAAAAUUAUUGACAUUCCAUUUUUCGCUUACAAGUGAUUGGCCCAAACCAUUUCAUCAAUUUGAGUCCGAAAGCUAGAGGUCGUUUUGUGAUACUUGCCAUCCCCGACCUUAAAGAAAUGAAGAUUUUGACAGAGAAGAUACAUUUUAAAUGUACAAGACUCUGUAAAUAAGUAUGAAAGAUUUAAAUUUAAGAAAUUCUUGGAUAGAGCAAACCACUAUAUCAAAUUCCAUUGAUAGAAUGGUUUCUUGUACUGAAUCAGAUUUGAAAACUUGUUAUUCACGUUUAUUAAAUAUCUUUGUUUCACUCAUUGCACACUCAUAUUUUUGUUAGGGCAUUUUGCAAUUUCAUCUUCUCUUCUUAAGAAUGUACGUAGUACUCAUAGACAUUUUUUGAUCUUCAGCUUCCAAUUUUGUCCUGUCGUGUGUGUGCAACUAAAAAUUUAUUAUCCUACUUAGAGACAAAAUGGAUUAGCGCAAGGAUACUUAAUAAAUGUGAAAACUACAUUUCUGUUUUACUCAUAAGGAUUUUAGAUUAGUGAUUUAAAAUUUAAUGAGAUUUUGUAGUACAGGAUGGAAAAGUCACUUAACACCCUGCUACAGAAUAUAGAAUGUACCCAAAGUUAAUUUGCUCAUGUCAGGAACACAUUAGACCAGGGAAAAACAGAUUGGUGUGUGUUACAUGUUGUUGCAUCUUGAAUGCAACAACAAAACUGUAAAUGGGAAGGAGGUCAUGUGACACACAUUUAGGGUCAGAAUUUCACAAGGAAUUGAUUGCCAAAAGAUUUUAUCAACCUACCUUCAACGGUUACAGAGUUAUGUUACAUGAUGUGCUCAAUGUACUGUACAUUCUUUGAGUAAAUUCUAUAUUCUGUAGCAGGGGUGUUAAUUGACUUUCUUUCUCAUCCUGUGUAAUACAUGAUAGUCCAAAAGUUAGUUGACUAAGACAUAUUUUUAAAAACGGUUUGGCUCCCAACGUGAUGGGAGCCAAAAUUAGGGCAAUGAAGAGACCGGCCAAACUCCGAGAACUGAUGAGGCAAAAAGAGAGAAUUAACUCCAUAUUAUUACAGUGGAGCGUCGAUUAUCCGAAUCAAUUGGGGACUGGGGUUGUUCGGAAGAUUGACGUUUCGGAUAACCGAUUAUGUACGAAAAAAUAUAUUAAUUUAUCCCAUCUUGACAUU
rnacentral:lncRNA from 1 species